ACUUGACGCAUGUCCAUUGUGCGUGUGCUAACUUUAUCUCAUGCCGCACAGAUAGACUACUACUGUAUUUUUACCAUUUUUCUUUCAUCUCAUAUUUGGUCUCAAAUGCUGAUACUAUGUGGGGGAUGCAUAAAUUGACGCCCUAUUGGUGGAAUGCGUUCUGGUCAUGUAAAAUGUGCCAGACCUUCCCUGCUUAUGCCAAACGGCAGUGUGAUGUUGUGCGGCGGCAUCUCCAUCACUUGAAAAACCGGGGCUGUCAUCAUCUCAAUGCGAGAGAUAUGGAGGGUGGUGUUUAUGAAAGAAUUCAUCCAGAAUUUGGGAGCAGAAAGAAUGGAGUGGUCUGCCAACAUUCCUCAACUCAACUUGUGGGAUCAGCUUGGCUGUGAUGUUUGUGCGAGUGUGACCAAAACAACCAUGCUGGCUGACAUGCGUGGAAUGCCGUCCCACAGCAGUGUGUGAUUUAGUGGAUUCUGAUGCAGCAUUUGAACAAAUCAGGUAGACUCUUGUUUAUUUUCCCGGCUGUUUCAACACCGCAGCAACCAUGGGAAUGCUCACAAACCCGUGUGUGAUACAUGUGAUAUCACCUGGUGCCAAGGAGGCAGCGGCAGUCAGUGCAGUUUAGUCACCCUCUUGUUUGCAUGGUCGUGUAAACCACUUUUGGGGUUGAUAUACUGUAUGACCUUUUAGUUAAGCUGUUUGUCUUUUAUUUUUGCAUACACACACAGCAUGUCUACAGCACGUGCGACAAUAUUGUCACUAGAAUGUCAAAAUGUGAAUCGAGUAUCCGCGCCAUGUUUUGUGCCAAGUCUAACAUUCAACUGAGCUAAUAUUAAAACGAGUUCACGAGUUGCUGUUUUGUUACAGUAAUAUGUUUUGUGUUUUCACCUUUUGACCUCUUUUUAUGUAUCCCCUUAAAUCCCUUAGGGGGCAGUGCCACGAGGCGCACUUGUAGCUAGUCUGGCAUCAGGGUUACCUGGGCUACCUGGAUGUGGGAUCGUUACUUCUUGUCAGAGACGCUUGUGCUUCGUUUUCUCUGUUUUGACCAAUUUAUCUUGCUAGUGUUAGCUCGUUCCUGCCCCACGUCCUCCCUGCUCCUCGUGAUGCCAUCCUACUCACCUGUGACAUUUAUGUCUUGUUACCUUUUUUGUCCUUUUUGUCCACUAUAACCUUGUGUGACUCUGCAUUUUGGAUCCUUACCUGACAGCACGUAACAAUCACUUGCGCUAUGUGUGCUUAUUUUUUUAUUUGUUGCAUGUUGUGCUGUCAUUUUUGUGUUUGCA